rnacentral:rRNA from 1 species
GAUGAACGCUGGCGGCGUGCCUAAUACAUGCAAGUCGAGCGAACAGAUGAGGAGCUUGCUCCUCUGACGUUAGCGGCGGACGGGUGAGUAACACGUGGAUAACCUACCUAUAAGACUGGGAUAACUUCGGGAAACCGGAGCUAAUACCGGAUAAUAUAUUGAACCGCAUGGUUCAAUAGUGAAAGACGGUUUUGCUGUUACUUAUAGAUGGAUCCGCGCCGCAUUAGCUAGUUGGUAAGGUUACGGCUUACCAAGGCAACGAUGAGUAGCCGACAUGAGAGGGUGAUCGGCCACACUGGAACUGAGACACGGUCCAGACUCCUACGGGAGGCAGCAGUAGGGAAUCUUCCGCAAUGGGCGAAAGCCUGACGGAGCAACGCCGCGUGAGUGAUGAAGGUCUUCGGAUCGUAAAACUCUGUUAUUAGGGAAGAACAAAUGUGUAAGUAACUAUGCACGUCUUGACGGUACCUAAUCAGAAAGCCACGGCUAACUACGUG